UGUUAGGUGGAUGAACACUCCAGCCGGCUCCGUGAUGGUCUGCCUGAGAGAUGCCCACAGUCGCUGAGAAAAUUGGAGUGGGUGGUCCCCUGAGGGUCUCAUGACAGAAAAGGUGGAUCAACACUCCAACCGUCUCCGUGAUGGUCUGGCUGAGAAACACGCACUGGAGCUGCAAAAGGUGGAGUGUGUAAGUUGCACAUGUAAUUGUGAGGUUACUGUUCCUCCAUCAAUAGGGCAUUUCCCCAUAACUUGCACACUUUAAAGAUGAUAAACAUAAUUGUAAAAGUAAUGCAUAUGAAGUUUCUCUAUGUAUUGAUAGCCUCCACUCCAAUAUUACUGCUACGCAAGACUUGAUGGAGAACUCGGUAUUUGCACGUUGUCUGAAAUAAGUGUGUGUGCGCUCUCACAGCACGCGCAAGUUUUCUUUUGCGUCUUGCUCUUGAAUAUUUAAAUUAGCCAGGCUUAAAUGAGUUUAGUUUAAAGUAAUGAAAUUAGAAAAUAGUUUAUGGGUUAGGAAUGACACAAUUCACAAAACUUUCUUUGAGUCAAAUAACCCAUUAUUUGGAUCACAUGUUGGACUUCAUUUGAGCAUUCCCACCAGCCAGAUACAACUAAUAAUUUACCUUGAAAGCUGGGGAGACUCUCACACCAGGUCUGCUGUUGGUCUUCCAUAUCACAUUGUUGCUGAUUGACAAAUGCUGUUGACAGUCGGGGGUCAUUAGUGAUGUUCAUUUUGAUAGCUACAGUUCUGCAGCUGUAUGUUUCAACAGUUAUUUAAUUCAGCGGUUCUUAAUUCUUUUCCUGCACAGGAAAUCUGUUAAAGUUUAGUUCAAUUAGGAACAUUCAUUCACGGAUUUGCGCAACGCCACUGCCUGAUGAAACUAGAGAAGUGUGACGUAAUAUAACUCUAUGAAUAAAUACAAUUUAAAGGGAUGUCUUAUGCACUUUAAUGUCCUUUGAAUGGAAAAUAUAUGCUCCCUUGGAACUGGAAUCAUGGUGGAUCCUGUGAAAUCCACGGUUGAAUAGCACAAAUGUCUGAAGUGAUAAGAGAUGUGUUAAGAGAUGUCACAAAAUGUGUGACAAACAGGAUUAAGAACCGCUGACAUAGUUGUAGCUUUAAAUAAUCAUUGUAGAUGUGGAUAGAACAAUUAAAAUGAUUAAAGAUAAGAGAUCUUCAGACUUACAGUUGCUUAAAGAGUUUACAGCUCUGCUCUGCAAAACCUGAGGUUGCACAACAGGACCUGAUAAAAGGGAAAUUUAUUUUUUGUAUUCUGGCUGUUAUGCACUUUUAAUCUUACUUAUUUCAUACUGGGCCAUUCUGUGUAAAAUCAACCAGAUUUGAGAAUUACCUAGAUUUUAAAAAUUAAAAAAAAAAGCAACCUCUGGUUGAGUUUAAAUGGAAUGUGUAUUGUUAUUCAUAGCAUUCAUUUUAUUACCAUUGCAUGUUUUUAAAUUUAUUUUCCAUUACCUUUUUUCUUUGUGCGUUUUGGAAUUGAAGGAGGCUUUGGUGCUGGUGGAAGACUUUCUUUGUCUGCACUUUUUCUUUUUUUAAGAGGUGGUUGUUCUGGUGCCUCAUCAUCCGAUGAGUAGAUGUGGUUGGAGCACAGUUUCUUUCUAGGAACACAGAGAAAAAAGUACAACUGCACACAUUAAUUGCCCCUUGUGUGAUAGCAAAUACUCAUAAAUGGACUAAAAACAUUUUGCUUUAUUUCUUAAAGGGAUAGUUCACCCAAAUUGAAUAAUUUUCAUAAUUUACUGUAAGACCUUUGUUCAUCUUCAGAACACAAAUGAAAAUAUUUUUGAUGACAUCUUGCUCAGAAAAAGGGUUCUCAUCACUUCAUAAAAUUGUGGUUGAACCACUAGUCACAUAGACUAUUUUAACUAUGUCUUUACUACCUUUCUGGGCCUUGAGGUGGUAGUUGCGUUGAUGUCUGAGCGUAGACAUCAACAUAAUUUAUGUUCAGAAGAUGAACGAAAGUCUUGCAGGUUUGAAACGACUUGAGGGUGAGUACUUGAUCGCAGAAAUUUCAUUUCUGAGCGAACUAACACUUUAAAACCUGUAACAAUCAUACUGAAGCUGUUAUUCAAUAAUUUAAAUAUUCAGUUGAACUAUGUUAAAGGUGGUUGAAACGAAAGUAUAUGGCAUUUUCAUGUGUUUUUCAAAACAUUUCUUUGUCUUUUAUGAGGACUUACUUUGGAAUCCUUUUUCCAGCAAUUUCAGGUUCUGAAUUUAUGUCGGAUGUAUAACUGGCCUUCUUCCAGUUGUUGGCUACAUUGUGAAAAGAUGCUGAAAAAAGAAAUGCAGGAUUCUUGUUUUAUGCCGGGUCCACCCCUUCUCUGGCUGUGGUGUCUCCAUGAUUUUAACACUCUUUAACAGCCUGUCAAUGUCUUUAUAUGGUGGCCACCAAGAGUAUCCGUCAGCAUACCAGGACUUGGCAACUGGUCCAGUCGUCCCUUCUCCCUCAAACUCCACUAUUAGAACUCGACGGUGGUUGAGAGAUCGUCAACUAAAUAAAUGCCGAGUGUAGAGGAUGGCAGGGGAUAGUCAAAAAAAGAUUCCUGAUGGUUGAAUGAACUGUAAGCUACAUAAAUUUCAUCCCUGAAUGAAAUGAUAUUUUGCAGCUUUGCAACUUUGCCACUGAUGUAAACGUGACUGUUUGCCCGGUCCAGUUUAAGAGUGUAAGGGCUUGUCCUUAACUCUUUAUACUGUGUCGCUUCAUGAAAGGAUGCAGGUAGAGGACCAGUUGCAUGCUGCUUUUUGAGCAGAUGUGGCCUGGUUUUGUGAGGUUUUUUGCAGCUUCUUUGCAUCUCUGAGAAUCUUUUUAUUAUUUGACUCAGAGGGCAUGUUGGUUUCCUCAGAAGUCUUUUGAGUUUGUUCAGGUGAUUCUCAUACUUGAAAGCACUGAAGUUGUCUAGCACGCCAUGCUUUUUUGCAUCAUCUGCAAGAUGUACAAGGCAGUGUGCAUUAUAGGACAGGAAUUGUGGCCCAUACAGUUGACCGAAGUGAUUGACGAAGAGAACCAGUAUGUCAUUGGCAUAAUCACAGUAAUCUUCCAUCAGACUGUUGUUGCACAGGAUGAAGAUUCCCACAAAAAGCAGCAAGAAGUUUUUGUACACCUCUGUGGUAAGGAGAUCUUUCAACAUAACAGGUCCGGUAUACAGUAAAAACUGCCUGAACUCUGUUGCCUUCCACCUGUCAAUUUCCCUCAGUGCCCUUGGUUUCCUUGCGAACUCCAUGGGCACGCUUCUCUGAGCAUUCACUAACCUUUCUGUUAAUGUGUUUAUUUGAAAUCCCGACAGCCUACAAGUGAGAGGACCCAUCUUCAACCACAAGUGGAGAAGUCUUCUCAUGAUUCCAAGGCACACAAGGUGCAUGUAAUCGAGGGGGAUGCCAGAGACCAUAUCCAGGGAAGUUUGUUCAAGGGGUGACGUGCCAUGAUGGUGAUCAGAAUCGGUCUUGUUUCUGAAGCUCUCAUUGGUUCUUAGUGGCAUGUCGCUUCUUGGAAAUGUCAUCCGGUUUUCCAGGUACACUCCAUCCUGUGUGCAUUUUUCGCAUCCAUGAUAGCCUGUGUGACCUUUAAUGUUUUUUAGGAAUGCACGAGCAGGUGCGUCGCAAACCAUCGAAGAAAGUUGUAAAGCUAACCUCACUCCUUCAAACUCAAAUCCAUUACCCAAUUCAUUUACUUCCGUGAUGAAGUCUUCGAGAUACUCGGUCAGUGAGGUAGGUUUACCUGUGCCACAAAAUAAACCUAUUGUCACUGGUUCUUCUUGUCUGAUAUUUUGCAGUGUUCCAAGAAUGGGCCAGAACUGUGUUGACGAACUCUUGUAGAGGGGCAGACCAUCGAUGCUGACCUGAAGCUCCAAUGUGUGAAUGUUGCUCAGAAUCUUGACAUUCUGAUGUAGCACCUCUGUGAUUGAAUUUAGUACUCCAAAAUGGUAAUACUGGCCACCAGCUUUGUGUUGUAUUUGAGGGUUCCCACGCACCGUUCCUAGCAACGUUCUUGAGUCUUUUGGCAGAUUUAAACUAUGUUGACGUAGUAUGUUUAGUAAUGAAUUUAAUGCCACGUGUGAGAUUUUGUUUUCAGUAGCCCAGGUUGCCAGAUCUUCUUCUAGGGAAGUUGGAUCCGUUUCAGACUCCGACUCGGGGUCAGAUUCACUAUCAUCAAGAAGACUUGCCAUAUUGACAGCUUCAGUCUCGUCAAUCUGAGAGAGACAGUCCAUAAAUGUGUCUUCAUCAUCGAUUUGACAUUGACAGGCGUUACGGCAUGCGAUUGGCUGUUCGCUGCUGAUGUCACACUUUCAAGUGCGCGCGCUCCAAGAACUCCAGUUCAAAUCCCAAGUCGACGGAUGGACGGAGUUUGAUCGGCGUCAUGGUACCAGCAAAGCAUGCAUGUCUUGGUUUCGUGAUCUUGACUGUGUGUUGCACUGCCAUCAUCGUACAGGCUCCUUCUGUGAUUCACCAAAGCGCGUCUGAAUUCAAGCUGGAAACGGCCUGUGCUUGGUCUGUCCCAGGGUGUCAUCGUCACUCACGAAGACAAUGCAUGACUUUUAUUUUGGAGUGACGCCAUGACGUCAUAAGACUGCGCCGCGCUCAAGCAUCUGUGAUUCUGCUGAAUAAAGGUUUGUUUUAAGAAUUUAAGCUGUUUUAAUCGAUAGGAACAGUUCAAUGAUUUGUAGUUGUUACCGUUUUUUAAAGCGAUGUGAAAUGAAUUUAUUUACUAUUUAAUGUAACAUUGUGAUUCUUUAUCUAACUGUAGUGAAGGAUAUUUGUGUGAGUAAACAGUAAACCUGCGUCUCAUUUCUCUCUCUAUAUAUAUAUCAUAAAUCAGUUUAUCAUGAACUCGAGUUCAGUUUCUGGAGAGUAAUGAUGGAGAAACUGAACUUUUCAACUCCGAGUCAAUUGAAUCAAACACUUUGAGAAAUGAUUCAGUGAAUCACGACUCGUGCUGUUCGAACAGUGAACAUGAACGAGAACAACAAACAUUAACAAACUACUUAAUCAUGUUUCAUCAAAGUGUAAUGAUUUCAAUAUAAUCUAUAAUUCAUUAGAUACCAAAUGAGGAUCAUAAAUGCCUGAAAUAUGAAGUUUAUUAAUUUGUAGUGUUAGUUUUGAGUGUUUUUUUUUUAGUCCAACAGGUCAUUGAAGACUUUUAACUCUGUUAAUUAUUCUGUACUUACAGAUGGAUUUUAUUAAAGAGGAAACUGAAGACAUGAAGAUGGAGUUUAAUAAAGAGGAGUCUGAAGAAAUAAAGAUUGAAGAAACAUUCAGUGUGAAACAUGAAGAUACUGAGGAACAAACAGAGCUGAUGAAAGUGAAGGAGGAGAGUGAAGAAC